ensembl:snRNA U6 U6 spliceosomal RNA
GUGUUAGCUCGCUAACACAUUCACUAAAGUUGGAACGAUACAGAGAAGAUUAGCAUGGCCCCUGGCGCAAGCAUGGUGCUUGUUGUUCUCGGUCCUUCUCGCUCCUU